CCUACGGGAGGCAGCAGUGAGGAAUAUUGGUCAAUGGGCGAGAGCCUGAACCAGCCAAGUCGCGUGAAGGAUGACGGAUCUAUGGUUUGUAAACUUCUUUUAUAUGGGAAUAAAGUGAGGAACGUGUUCCUUUUUGUAUGUACCAUAUGAAUAAGCAUCGGCUAACUCCGUGCCAGCAGCCGCGGUAAUACGGAGGAUGCCAGCGUUAUCCGGAUUUAUUGGGUUUAAAGGGUGCGUAGGUGGUUAGUUACGUCAGCGGUGAAAGUGUGUGGCCAAAGCAGGAAAGUGCCGUUGAAACUGGUUGACUUGAGUAUAUUUGAGGUAGGCGGAAUGCGUGGUGUAGCGGUGAAAUGCAUAGAUAUCACGCAGAACUCCGAUUGCGAAGGCAGCUUACGAAACCAUAACUGACACUGAAGCACGAAAGCGUGGGGAUCAAACAGGAUUAGAUACCCGAGUAGUC
rnacentral:rRNA from 1 species